rnacentral:rRNA from 1 species
AUUGAACGCUGGCGGCAUGCCUUACACAUGCAAGUCGAACGGCAGCACGGGAGCAAUCCUGGUGGCGAGUGGCGAACGGGUGAGUAAUGUAUCGGAACGUACCUUUCAGUGGGGGAUAACGUAGCGAAAGUUACGCUAAUACCGCAUAUUCUGUGAGCAGGAAAGCAGGGGAUCGCAAGACCUUGCGCUGAUUGAGCGGCCGAUAUCAGAUUAGCUAGUUGGUGAGGUAAAGGCUCACCAAGGCGACGAUCUGUAGCGGGUCUGAGAGGAUGAUCCGCCACACUGGAACUGAGACACGGUCCAGACUCCUACGGGAGGCAGCAGUGGGGAAUUUUGGACAAUGGGCGCAAGCCUGAUCCAGCCAUGCCGCGUGAGUGAAGAAGGCCUCGGUUGU